rnacentral:rRNA from 1 species
GCCGCGUCGACGGGAUGGACUCGCGGCCUAUCAGCUUGUUGGUGAGGUAAUGGCUCACCAAGGCGACGACGGGUAGCCGGCCUGAGAGGGUGACCGGCCACACUGGGACUGAGACACGGCCCAGACUCCUACGGGAGGCAGCAGUGGGGAAUAUUGCACAAUGGGCGAAAGCCUGAUGCAGCGACGCCGCGUGAGGGAUGACGGCCUUCGGUUGUAAACCUCUUUCAGUAGGGAAGAAGCGAAAGUGACGGUACCUGCAGAAGAAGCGCCGGCUAACUACGUGCCAGCAGCCGCGGUAAUACGUAGGGCGCAAGCGUUAUCCGGAAUUAUUGGGC